rnacentral:rRNA from 1 species
AGAGUUUGAUCAUGGCUCAGAACGAACGCUGGCGGCAUGCCUAACACAUGCAAGUCGAACGCAAGGUCUCGGUUCGCCGGGGCCUUGAGUGGCGCACGGGUGAGUAGCGCGUGGGAACCUGCCCUGGAGUGGGGGAUAACCGAGGGAAACUUCGGCUAAUACCGCAUGCGCCCGGAGCAAUCCGGGGAAAGAUUUAUCGCUCUAGGAGGGGCCCGCGUCGGAUUAGCUAGUUGGUGGGGUAACGGCCUACCAAGGCGAUGAUCCGUAGCUGGUCUGAGAGGAUGAUCAGCCACACUGGGACUGAGACACGGCCCAGACUCCUACGGGAGGCAGCAGUGGGGAAUAUUGGACAAUGGGCGAAAGCCUGAUCCAGCAAUGCCGCGUGAGUGAGGAAGGCCUUAGGGUUGUAAAGCUCUUUCGGCGGGGACGAUGAUGACGGUACCCGCAGAAGAAGCCCCGGCUAACUUCGUGCCAGCAGCCGCGGUA